rnacentral:rRNA from 1 species
AUUGAACGCUGGCGGCAUGCCUUACACAUGCAAGUCGAACGGCAGCACGGGAGCAAUCCUGGUGGCGAGUGGCGAACGGGUGAGUAAUACAUCGGAACGUGCCCAAUCGUGGGGGAUAACGCAGCGAAAGCUGUGCUAAUACCGCAUGAGAUCUACGGAUGAAAGCAGGGGACCGCAAGGCCUUGCGCGAAUGGAGCGGCCGAUGGCAGAUUAGGUAGUUGGUGAGGUAAAGGCUCACCAAGCCUGCGAUCUGUAGCUGGUCUGAGAGGACGACCAGCCACACUGGGACUGAGACACGGCCCAGACUCCUACGGGAGGCAGCAGUGGGGAAUUUUGGACAAUGGGCGCAAGCCUGAUCCAGCCAUGCCGCGUGCAGGAUGAAGGCCUUCGGGUUGUAAAGCACUUUUGUCCGGAAAGAAAUCGCGUUGGAUAAUACCCGGCGUGGAUGACGGUACCGGAAGAAUAAGCACCGGCUAACUACGUGCCAGCAGCCGCGGUAAUACGUAGGGUGCGAGCGUUAAUCGGAAUUACUGGGCGUAAAGCGUGCGCAGGCGGUUUUGUAAGACAGGCGUGAAAUCCCCGAGCUCAACUUGGGAAUUGCGCUUGUGACUGCAAGGCUAGAGUGUGUCAGAGGGGGGUAGAAUUCCACGUGUAGCAGUGAAAUGCGUAGAGAUGUGGAGGAAUACCGAUGGCGAAGGCAGCCCCCUGGGACAUGACUGACGCUCAUGCACGGAAGCGUGGGGAGCAAACAGGAUUAGAUACCCUGGUAGUCCACGCCCUAAACGAUGUCAACUGGUUGUUGGGUCUUCACUGACUCAGUAACGAAGCUAACGCGUGAAGUUGACCGCCUGGGGAGUACGGCCGCAAGGUUG